rnacentral:misc_RNA from 1 species
GGCAGUGUUGUCCCAAAAGAAUGCAGUUGAUGAGGAGGGAAUUGGAAUUUACUCGAUUUUUCAUAUUUAAUAUGAGAUUAUGAAAAUGGAAGCGUAUGGAUAGAGUCCCAAGCAUUUGCAGUGACAAUGAGAGUGGUUAAAGAUUUCAAGAAUGGUAGGGUCCUCAAACUGGUGCACCCCUGGAGGCUUCAUAUAGAUUCAUGAGGGUCUGAUAACAGCUGAUGAGGACGUCCGGAUGUGUGUCAGGUUUCCCAGGAUUGUGGUCCGGCCUGAGUCGCUUUUGAAGCCUGGAGUUGUCUUUUGCAUUGUUCCACUCCAUUGCUGCAAAGAAACAGAUACCAGAAUCAGGACCCUCCACUCCUGCAACUAGCUUCGUUGGACUCUUUAGUUGAGGGAAUCCAUCAACUUAGGAAGCAGCAGAAUCAUACUACGUAGCCGACACGAACUAAAGUAGAUUGCAAGAUCGAAGACCGGCCAAAGAUUCCAUAUUCCCCAAGUGUGUUGUUAGAAAUACACAGUACCAUGAUCCAUUCUACAGUGAAGAAUCAUUAAUCAAGUCUCCUCAUGAGCAUGGCUCUUCUAAGAAACCAUUCUCAAUUGAUCCCUGGCAUGGAACUUUGAUUUCAAAGUUCACCAAGAACCCAAGCAGCAACCCAAAGUCAAUUCUUUCAUACGGAGGAAUUACUUAUUGCGAACAACACACAUUUAACGAGAGG